GGCGAAGCGUUUCCUGCAGGAAUUUUACCGGGAUGGCCCCGAGGGACACAAGGAAUUCCCAUACCGGGAUCAGCUGAGGGCUCUGGCGCACCGGGAGCAGGUGGCCCUGUGGGUGGCCCUGGACGACGUGGCCGAGGACGAGCCCGAGCUGGCCGAGGCCGUGGCCGAGAACGCCCGCAGGCUGGGCAGGGUCUUCACCGAGGCCGUGCAGGAGCUGCUGCCCCUCUACAGGGACACAGAGGUGACCCCCCGGGACCCCCUGGACGUUUACCUGGAGCA